AUCCUGGCUCAGGACGAACGCUGGCGGCGCGCCUAAUCCAUGCAAGUCGAGCGACGCAUUCCUUAGCCCGUAAGGGCGGGUUUGACGGAGCGGCGAACGGGUGCGUAACACGUGACCAAUCUGCCCCGAAGACCGGGAUAGCCCGGGGAAACCCGGGUUAAUACCGGAUGACCUCAUCAUCACGCAUGUGGAGAUGAGCAAAGGUUCAGGCGCUUCGGGAUGAGGUCGCGGCCCAUCAGCUUGUUGGUGAGGUAACGGCUCACCAAGGCAAUGACGGGUAGCUGGUCUGAGAGGACGAUCAGCCACACUGGAACUGAGAUACGGUCCAGACUCCUACGGGAGGCAGCAGGAGGGAAUCUUGCGCAAUGGGCGAAAGCCUGACGCAGCGACGCCGCGUGGGGGAUGAAUGCCCUUAGGGUUGUAAACCCCUUUCACGAGGGAAGAAACUGACGGUACCCUCCGAGAAGAAAGCCCCCCGCGCCAAACUACCGUG
rnacentral:rRNA from 1 species